AGUGGUAUAGCUCAGUGGUAGAGCACAUGCUUAGCAUGCAGGGAAGUCCUGGGUUCAAUCCCCAGUACCUUCA
rnacentral:tRNA from 1 species